UAGGAGAUGUGAAGCAAACCGAGUGAACUGAAACAUCUUAGUAACUCGAGGAAAAGAAAUCAACCGAGAUUCCGGCAGUAGUGGCGAGCGAAACCGGAACAGCCUGUUAUUUUUAGCACACGCGUUAAUAGAACGGAAUGGAAAGUCCGGCCGUAGAGGGUGAUAGUCCCGUAUAUGAAAGCCCGUGUGUGGAACUAGGGUAACGAUAAGUAGGACGGGACACGUGAAAUCUUGUCUGAAUAUGGGGGGACCAUCCUCCAAGGCUAAAUACUCGUAAUCGACCGAUAGUGAACUAGUACCGUGAGGGAAAGGUGAAAAGAACCCCGGGAGGGGAGUGAAAUAGAUUCUGAAACCGUAUGCAUACAAACAGUAGGAGCCCUUCGGGGUGACUGCGUACCUUUUGUAUAAUGGGUCAGCGACUUACAUUCAGUAGCAAGCUUAACCGAUAGGGAAGGCGUAGCGAAAGCGAGUCCUAAUAGGGCGUCUUAGUUACUGGGUGUAGACCCGAAGCCAAGUGAUCUAUCCAUGGCCAGGAUGAAGGUGCCGUAACAGGUACUGGAGGUCCGAACCCACAAAUGUUGAAAAAUUUGGGGAUGAGCUGUGGAUAGGGGUGAAAGGCUAAACAAACUUGGAGAUAGCUGGUUCUCUCCGAAAACUAUUUAGGUAGUACCUCGUAUCUUACUCUCGGGGGUAGAGCACUGUUAUGGCUAGGGGGUCCUUAA
rnacentral:rRNA from 1 species